rnacentral:rRNA from 1 species
CGGCACGGGUGAGUAACACGUAGGUAAUGUACCUUUGGGUGGGGAAGUAACUUAGGGAAACUUAAGCUAAUACCGCAUAAUGCAGCGGCUCCUUCGGGAGACAGUUGUUAAAGAUUUAUCGCCUAAAGAGCAGCCUGCGGCAGAUUAGCUAGUUGGUAAGGUAACGGCUUACCAAGGCUACGAUCUGUAUCCGACCUGAGAGGGUGGUCGGACACACUGACACUGAAUAACGGGUCAG